rnacentral:ncRNA from 2 species
GACAAUCGCCAUCGAAGCAGCAAUGACGAUCGCCUUACCUGCGAUCGUCGGAACACGGUGAGAGCUCUGCUCGAUUCCGUGGCGGGCCCGCCGCUGUAACCGGGGACGGCUGUCGCAGGGAUGACGCGAAUUCGCGCAUCCGGCCACUGACGGGGACCACUCUGUCGGGAAGGCGCGACGGACCGGCUGAUCCGGGAGCCAGAAGACCUGCUGCCUCGAACGAAAAAUG